rnacentral:rRNA from 1 species
CAGCAGCCGCGGUAAUACGAAGGGGGCUAGCGUUGUUCGGAAUUACUGGGCGUAAAGCGCACGUAGGCGGAUCGAUCAGUCAGGGGUGAAAUCCCAGGGCUCAACCCUGGAACUGCCUUUGAUACUGUCGAUCUGGAGUAUGGAAGAGGUGAGUGGAAUUCCGAGUGUAGAGGUGAAAUUCGUAGAUAUUCGGAGGAACACCAGUGGCGAAGGCGGCUCACUGGUCCAUUACUGACGCUGAGGUGCGAAAGCGUGGGGAGCAAACAGGAUUAGAGACCCCUGUAGUCCCUGUCUCUUAUAC